UACGGAGGAUCCAAGCGUUAUCCGGAUUUAUUGGGUUUAAAGGGUGCGUAGGCGGCCUGUUAAGUCAGGGGUGAAAGACGGUAGCUCAACUAUCGCAGUGCCCUUGAUACUGAUGGGCUUGAAUGGACUAGAGGUAGGCGGAAUGUGACAAGUAGCGGUGAAAUGCAUAGAUAUGUCACAGAACACCGAUUGCGAAGGCAGCUUACUAUGGUCCUAUUGACGCUGAGGCACGAAAGCGUGGGGAUCAAACAGG
rnacentral:rRNA from 1 species